UAGGGAAUCUUCCGCAAUGGACGCAAGUCUGACGGAGCAACGCCGCGUGAGUGAAGAAGGAUUUCGGUUCGUAAAACUCUGUUGUUAGAGAAGAACAGCGCAUAGAGUAACUGUUAUGCGUGUGACGGUAUCUAACCAGAAAGCCACGGCUAACUACGUGCCAGCAGCCGCGGUAAUACGUAGGUGGCAAGCGUUGUCCGGAUUUAUUGGGCGUAAAGCGAGCGCAGGCGGUCAAUUAAGUCUGAUGUGAAAGCCCCCGGCGCAACCGGGGAGGGUCAUUGGAACCUGGUUGACUUGAGUGCAGAAGAGGAGAGUGGAAGUCCAUGUGUAGCGGUGAAAUGCGUAGAUAUAUGGAGGAACACCAGUGGCGAAGGCGACUCUCGGGUAUGUAACUGACACUGAGGCUCGAAAGAGUGGGUAGCAAACAGG
rnacentral:rRNA from 1 species